rnacentral:rRNA from 1 species
UACGAAGGGGGCUAGCGUUGUUCGGAAUUACUGGGCGUAAAGGGCGCGUAGGCGGCGUGUCAAGUCAGGCGUGAAAGCCCCGGGCUCAACCUGGGAACCGCGCUUGAGACUGGCAUGCUCGAGUUCGGGAGAGGAUGGUGGAAUUCCCAGUGUAGAGGUGAAAUUCGUAGAUAUUGGGAAGAACACCGAUGGCGAAGGCAGCCAUCUGGGACCGACACUGACGCUGAGGCGCGAAAGCGUGGGGGAGCAAACAGG